ACGAGGCCUAAAGUAAAAAAUUCGCACCAAAAUUUCCAACUUAAACUAUUCCCUAUGAAAUUUCCCACUUUCCCUCUAAAACAUUUCACUAAAAGUCUAAGUGAUUCCAGUUAACCCUAUUUCUCUAGGGUUUGAAACCCACAGCCUACUUCACUCAAUUUUCAAAAAAUAGUACAGUCCAUUGCACCCAUUCUUCGUCAAAAAAGGGAAAGAAGAAAAUGAUUGCACCCAAUCGGUUACGCUCUUCAAAAGCAGGAGAUCUGAUUUACUUUAUUUGAUUCCUCCAAAGAUCUAAGUUACACGGUCAAUUUGUCAAUACAACAAGAAAGGAAAAUUCUUGUGGUGCAAUUAAACGUGGUGGCCAAAGUCAGUUUGAUCCAUUUGAAGUUAAGGAAGAAGAUUUUUGGACAAAACAUUUGAUUUUGUAAAGUUCAUAUUUAGUACGCAACUUGAAGCAAUUUGCUUUAUUGGUUGAUUGUAUUACAUGAAGUGUAUUCCUUUGUUUGAAGUUCAUUGCAUGUAUUUGAAACAAUCUCUUUUGUUUAUUGAUAAUGAAGUGCUUCCGA